CCUACGGGAGACAGCAGUGGGGGAUAUUGCACAAUGGGGGAAACCCUGAUGCAGCAACGCCGCGUGUGGGAAGAAGGUUUUCGGAUUGUAAACUCCUUUUGUUAGAGAAGAUAAUGACGGUAUCUAACGAAUAAGCACCGGCUAACGACGUGCCAGCAGCCGCGGUAAUACGGAGGGUGGAAGCGUUACUCGGAAUCACUGGGUGUAAAGAGCGCGUAGGCGGGAUAGCAAGUCAGAUGUUAAAUCCUAUGGCUUAACCAUAGAACUGCAUUUGAAACUGUUAUUCUAGAGUAUGGGAGAGGUAGGUGGAAUUCUUGGUGUAGGGGUAAAAUCCGUAGAGAUCACGCGGAAUACUCAUUGCGAAGGCGACCUGCUAGAACCUAACUGACGCUGAUGCGCGAAAGCGUGGGUAGCAAACAGGAUUAGAUACCCCAGUAGUC
rnacentral:rRNA from 1 species